rnacentral:rRNA from 1 species
GAUGAACGCUAGCGGGAGGCCUAACACAUGUCAGCCGAGCGGUAGAGUUUCUUCGGAAACUUGAGAGCGGCGCACGGGUGCGUAACACGUGUGCAACCUACCUUUAUCUGGGGGAUAGCCUUUCGAAAGGAAGAUUAAUACCCCAUAAUAUAAUGAUUGGCAUCAAUUAUUAUUGAAAACUCCGGUGGAUAGAGAUGGGCACGCGCAAGAUUAGAUAGUUGGUGAGGUAACGGCUCACCAAGUCAAUGAUCUUUAGGGGUCCUGAGAGGGAGAUCCCCCACACUGGUACUGAGACACGGACCAGACUCCUACGGGAGGCAGCAGUGAGGAAUAUUGGACAAUGGGUGAGAGCCUGAUCCAGCCAUCCCGCGUGAAGGAUGACGGUCCUAUGGAUUGUAAACUUCUUUUGUACAGGGAUAAACCUACCCUCGUGAGGGUAGCUGAAGGUACUGUACGAAUAAGCACCGGCUAACUCCGUG